AGAGUUUGAUCCUGGCUCAGAGCGAACGCUGGCGGCAGGCUUAAUACAUGCAAGUCGAGCGCCCGUAGCAAUACGGGAGCGGCAGACGGGUGAGUAACGCGUGGGAACGUACCCUUUGGUUCGGAACAACACAGGGAAACUUGUGCUAAUACCGGAUAAGCUUACGGGGAAAGAUUUAUCGCCGAAGGAUCGGCCCGCGU
rnacentral:rRNA from 1 species